rnacentral:rRNA from 1 species
AUGAAGAUGGCGGCUUGCAUUCGUAAGGUGGCCUCAGAGGAGUUUGGAGUGUCCAGGGGAAGGAGAAGCGAAGAUAAGGAUACCUGGUGGUGGAAUGAUGAUGUCCAGAAGGCGAUUAAAGAGAAGAAAGAUUGCUUCAGACGCCUAUACCUGGAUAGGAGUGCACACAACAUAGAGAAGUACAAGAUGGCGAAUAAGGCCGCAAAGCGAGCUGUUGGUGAAGCAAGGGGUCGGGCGUAUGAGGACCUCUACCAACGGUUAGGCACGAAGGAAGGCGAAAGGGACAUCUAUAAGAUGGCCAAGAUCCGAGAGAGGAAGAUGAGGGAUAUUGGCCAAGUCAAAUGCAUCAAGGACAGAGCAGGCCAACCCUUGGUGAAGGACGAGGAGAUUAAGCAUAGAUGGCGGGAGUAUUUCGACAAGCUGUUCAAUGGGGAGAACGAAAGCUCUACCAUUGAACUAGACGACUCUUUUGAUGAGACCAGCAUGCGUUUUGUGCGUCGAAUCCAGGAGUCUGAGGUCAAGGAGGCUUUAAAAAGGAUGAAGGGAGGCAAGGCGAUGGGCCCGGAUUGUAUCCCCAUUGAGGUGUGGAAAGGUCUCGGGGACAUAGCGAUAGUAUGGCUAACCAAGCUUUUCAACCUCAUUUUUCGGGCAAACAAGAUGCCAGAAGAAUGGAGACGGAGUAUAUUAGUACCAAUCUUCAAGAACAAGGGGGAUGUUCAGAGUUGUACUAAUUACCGUGGAAUUAAGCUGAUGAGCCAUACAAUGAAGCUAUGGGAGAGAGUCAUUGAGCACCGCUUAAGAAGAAUGACAAGCGUGACCAAAAACCAGUUUGGUUUCAUGCCUGGGAGGUCGACCAUGGAAGCCAUUUUCUUGGUACGACAGCUUAUGGAGAGAUAUAGGGAGCAAAAGAAGGACUUGCAUAUGGUGUUCAUUGACUUGGAGAAGGCCUAUGAUAAGAUACCGCGGAAUGUCAUGUGGUGGGCCUUGGAGAAACACAAAGUCCCAGCAAAGUACAUUACCCUCAUCAAGGACAUGUACGAUAAUGUUGUGACAAGUGUUCGAACAAGUGAUGUCGACACUGAUGACUUCCCGAUUAAGAUAGGACUGCAUAGGGGUCAGCUUUGA